rnacentral:ncRNA from 1 species
UUCUCAAUAAAGGGGUGCCGAUAUCGGCUGAGAUCAUACCCAUUGAACCUAGAACAGAUAAUGCUGUUUAGGGAUGUGAGUUUCAAUUAACUA